CUUGAAUUUGUUGGCGUGAGUGCAUAUGGGGACCCCUGAUGUGGUGUGCCGCUUGUCAUUUGGUCUAAAUGUACUGCUAGUGAUUCUUCAGCUGUGUAAGUUAGACGAUUAAGUCCAAAAUCAGAGAUGCGUGGUUCCAUGUUCUCUCCAAGCAGAAUAUUGCCAGGCUUUAGAUUUCCAUGGACAUAUUUUUUGGGGCUGAAUUCAUGUAGAAAAGA
rnacentral:misc_RNA from 1 species